GUGAACAACUAAGGGCGCGCGGUGGAUGCCUAGGCUCUCGGAGGCGAAGAAGGACGCGAUAAGCCGCGAUAGUCCACGGCGAGGUGCAAGUAACCCUUGACCCGUGGGUUUCCGAAUGGGGCAACCCGGCCGUCUAGAUGACGGUCAUGCAUUAUCAUGCAGGCGAACGCGGGGAACUGAAACAUCUCAUUACCCGCAGGAGAAGAAAACAAAAUGUGAUUCCCCCAGUAGUGGCGAGCGAACGGGGAAGAGCCCAAACCGGUGCCGUUUCGGCGACACCGGGGUCAUGGGACCGCGCCAUUCGACGAUGGACGAAGUGCAAUUACCUGGAAAGGUAAGCCGCGGAGGGUGAUAGCCCCGUGCACGACAGCCCCAUCGAAGAUAGCGGAAUCCCGAGUAGGGCGGGACACGAGAAAUCCUGCCUGAAUUCGCCAGGACCUCCUGGCAAGGCUAAAUACUCCCGAGAGACCGAUAGUGAACCAGUACCGCGAGGGAAAGGUGAAAAGUACCCCGAGCAGGGGGGUGAAAUAGACCCUGAACCCGCGCGCCUACAAGCGGUCGGAGCCGGUCAGUCCGGUGACGGCGUGCCUUUUGCAUAAUGAGCCUACGAGUUAGUCGUCACCAGCGAGGUUAAGUCCUUCAGGGACGUGAGCCGAAGUGAAAGCGAGCCUCUAAAGGGCGUAAAGUUGGUGGCGCUAGACGCGAAACCUUGUGAUCUACCCACGAGCAGGUUGAAGUCGCGGUAACGCGUGAUGGAGGACCGAACCGGUAAACGUUGAAAAGUUUUCGGAUGACUCGCGGGUAGGGGUGAAAGGCCAAUCAAACUGGGAAAUAGCUCGUACUCUCCGAAAUGCAUUUCGGUGCAGCCUGUGAUGUUCUGUUCCAGAGGUAGAGCUACUGGUUGGACGCGAGGGCUUCACCGCCUAUCAAAUCCGGAUAAACUCCGAAUGCUGGAACACGAAAUCAUGGAGUGAGCCCGCGGGUGCUAAGGUCCGCGGACGAGAGGGAAAGAACCCGGACCACCGGCUAAGGUCCCGGAUGGACAGUUAAGUUGAUCAAACGAGGUGGGAUCGCGGAGACAGCUAGGAUGUUGGCUUGGAAGCAGCCAUUCAUUUAAAGAGUGCGUAACAGCUCACUAGUCGAGCGAUCCCGCGUGGAUAAUACACGGGCAUCAAACUGUCAACCGAAGCCGUGGGGUCAGUGUUGAACUGACCGGUAGGAGAGCAUUCCUGCCAGCGUUGAAGGUCACCCGCGAGAGUGACUGGAGCGGCAUGAAAAGCAAAUGUAGGCAUAAGUAACGAUAAUGGGGGCGAGAACCCCCCACGCCGCAAGACCAAGGAUUCCCCGGCAAUGUCAAUCAGCCGGGGGUCAGCCGGCCUCUAAGGCUAACCCGAAGGGGGAUGCCGACGAGAAACGGGUUAACAUUCCCGUGCUUCUCGUCACCGUGACGCGGUGACGGGGUGAUGAAUGGACCGCGCGCUGACGGAAUAGCGCGUUGAAGGCCGUACCCUGUGACGGUGGUAGUCAAGCACGCCACCGGAGGCGAAAGUCGAUAGUACCGCGAGGCCUCGGCCGAGCGGAUAGCGUUCCGGGCGUUAACCCCCGAGAAAACCCGCUAAACUUCAAGUGACGAGGAACCGUACUGUAAACGGACACACGUGGUCGGGUAGAACAUACCAAGGCGCUCGAGUGAUUCAUGGUCAAGGAACUAGGCAAAAUAGUCCUGUAACUUCGGGAAAAAGGACGCUCUAGUGAUAGAGCCGCAGAGUAAUGGCCCAGGCGACUGUUUACCAAAAACACAUGGCUAUGCCAAAUCGAAAGAUGACGUAUAUGGCCUGACACCUGCCCGGUGCCGGAAGGUUAAGAGGAGAGCUCAUCGGAAACGAGAAGGUUUGAAUUGAAGCCCCGGUAAACGGCGGCCGUAACUAUAACGGUCCUAAGGUAGCGAAAUUCCUUGUCGG
rnacentral:rRNA from 1 species